AAUGGCGUCUGUGUCAGCACGCCCACACCAGGCCACAACAAUGGCCGCCGCCAAUGUCCCAGUCCCUGGUGAGGUCUCAUCCCUCACCGAGAUGCACUCAGGGCCUAUUAGAUUGCUGUGCCGGAGGGAAGAGAACCUGGCGAACGUGCACUGGCUCUAAAAGCUCUACCCAGAAUGGAUAUGUGUCAUCUGUUCACACUUUAUUGACUAAAGCCCCAUGAGUCUUUCGCUUGACCUAGUUGCAGGUACCAUGAUCCUCUCAGGUUUUGAUGGGAAAUCCAAACGUUUAAUCUAUUUUUCUGCAAAGAUUUUGACUAAAUGAAAGUCUUUUUUCCCAUGUGUUACUAUAAACAAUUCAGAGCUUUAAUAAUGAGUUUAGUGGUCAUGCCAUUGAUUUGAUGCUUGCCAAGAGUCUGAGUUUUAGUUGGCCUUUUUAAUGCAAAGCAUUUCUCCAUUUUAUUUUUUGUUUUUUAGAAUUGAGAAACAGUUCUACUGCCAAACCAGCAAGUCCCUGAAUUUGUAGACUCUUUCUAUUUCUUUUAAAAUCUGUUUUUUUGUGCUCACUUUUUUCUUCUGAUAUCCUGCCAAAUACAGUCAAUAACGACCACCACGUACCACUAAUGUUCUAUUUUCCUACCACUUCUCCCUGGACUACAAAUUCAUGAGGUACACGAGUUGCCUUCCAAGCAAAGGUGGAAAUGUUACCAAAUGUUUUGACGCUACAUAAUGUGGACCAUCCUUUUAGGCUCCUACAUCAGUUGUCUCACUACUUGUUACCUAGACCAAUAUCAAUACCACAUGUUUUAGCUCUGUGGUCAUAGCAGCAUCCAGUAUCAAUCAGGAUAGGUUACAUUGAUGACGAUUUCCAUUUGCCUCAUUAGAUCUAUAUGCUUCUCUACACUAUUUUGUGUCCUGGGGUGGGAGUGGGGUGCUUGAUGUUAAUAUCUGCAUCAAUGAAUUCCUUUGUCUUCCAGCUUCCAAGAGUGUUCUCCAAUAGAAGUCAUUGGAAGGAAAUCAGGGAGUGAAAGGAAAGCAGGGACAGGGUACUCAUUCUCCGGGAUUCUUCCCCUUCAGGUCACUACUGUUUGGCUGGAUUCCUCUACUGAAGAUAAUAGCUAUCAUCAAGCCCUCUCAACACAACUAUACUCUCCAGGAGACCUAUCCCACAGGUGUGGGCAGGGCGCUCUGUUCCCUUUAGUCACUCAGCGCCACAAGCUUGAGUUUAGCUCGUGCUUCUGUGACCAGCAGAGCUGGAGGAAGAGCAUACGGCGACUUAUGCACAGGCCCUUCUACUUCUGCCUGGAUGGGACACCUGCCAUUUUUGCUUACAGUUCUAACCUCAAAGGAGUAAAAGUACCACCCUAACACACCAUCAAAAGGGUGAAAACUGGAAGAACUUAAUGAUUACUUUACAAAUAGUUCAAAAGUGAUUUUUGAAGCAUACAGCUAUGAUGAAAUUAAAGCAAACAUUAAAACUCAUGUUAACUUCAUACAUGUACAUAGUAAGAAUGCUAACAGUGCAUAUAUAGAGUAUGAUUCUGUUUGUACUCAAGCAAGUAAAUCUGUUAGUUGUAACGAUGCUGCACAAUUAGCCAAAAAGGAAAAUGUAUGCUCACAAAUAAAGAACUGAAAAUUGACUUGUAUUCUGGCCAGUUUAUGAGCCUUCCAGCUGUGCUCAGCUCCACUCCAACCCUGGGCCAGGGAGUUGGCCAUGUGAAACCCUUCCCACUUAGAGUAGCCCUACUGGUGGCUGUCACUCUUCCCAUGGGCUAAAAGCCAAGCUCUAUUACCACUGCAUUUGCCUCAUCCUCUAACAUUUCAAAUGACCUUGCCACCUCAAGAGAGAGAGAGGGGCUUCAGCAAGAAUUCUAUUGUACCUUCAUGGUACCAGAGGAGCGGCUCCAGCUCAUCAGUGUGAUUCAACAGGACUCAUGAAAGUGCCGGGUUCCCCAGUAGCGACCCACAAGGGGCAAUUAGCAAAAUGCAGAGGAGUGGAAGAGGAAAUAUCACGUGAAAUGACUUUUGACCAAAGAAAAACAAAAGACUGGAAAAAGCACACUGAACGAUUGCUUUCCCUUCCUCUCCUGACAGUUUUGAGAUGGUGGCGUCCCAUAGCCCCUCUGCAGAUAUCCCAGCAGCCGACUGGACGUCCUGUGAAGCUGGGACAGUUCGGUAACCUAGGACCUUAGACUCGCUUGCCGUCUUCACCUCUCUCGUCCCUUCACCCUGGCUCUUGUUGCCCUGUUUGUGUACCGUGCACUGCCGCUCUCCAUGCGGUGGUGACACAUAAGCUUUGCCUCAGGAGGUAUUUGCUAAGGACUGAGGCUUGGAAUACUGGUACCAAGGAUGGUCAUGGAGAGAAGACCUUCAGGAGGAAAUUUGGAGCUGGAUUUCCUACCUGUAGGAAAACAAUAAAGACCAAGUUGUUUGGCGUGGUGAAUAAGGUGAUAAAAAUCCCUGGAACUCAAUAGUAGUACUGUUAUUAAAAACUUUAACAGUAAUUAGUAGAAUUUAGGUAUAUUUAGUUUUUUUGCUCAUCAUUUUAAUUUCAAUCUCCUCUUGACCUUUAUGACACUUUUGCCCCGUAGAGUUUCUUUUUUUUUCUCCACCACUUAUAUUUUCAUGUAUGUCUAUGAUAAUCCUUGCUCAGAUUGUUGUUUAAUGACAGACAUAUACUCUUUAUUAAAAGCCGGGAAAUGUUGAAAUGUUGGGAUAUUUAUAGAUAAGGCCCCAUUCAAUCACAUUCCCAGAGAGAAUGUCAGUUGUUAACAGACUCAUUCCAAAAAAGAAAUCUACUGAAUUUUAUUUUAAAUUAGUCAUUAUCUUUAUGCUGGUUUUGCAGCUGCCAUUUGAAUUUUCUGACCCAAAUCUGUCUGGUUUACUUCAUCUAGACAGACAGGUAAGCAUACUAAUCCAGGUUUUCGAAACAGGAUACUUCUCAUGCCAAGCUCUGAGUCAGGUCAAACUCACUUGGAAGUCAAAGAAAAAGGAAGAGUGUUCUAGGUAGCAACUGGUGUUAACAGAAACUCUGACUUAAAACGGCCCAAACAAGUAGAGUUUAUUUAUCUCACAUAAGUCUGGAGCUAGGCAGUUAUUGGUGUUGGGUUACCUACCCAGGCCCUUUUAUCUGCCUGUUUUGUCAUCCUUACAUGUUGGCUUGGGUCCAUGUGUGUAUUAGUUUGUUAGGGCUGCCAUGACAAAGUACCACAGACUGAGUGGAUUAAACAACAGAAAUUUUUUUUCUCACAGUGCUGGAAGCUAGAAGUCUGGGAUCAAGAUGUCAGCACAGAGUUGGUUUCAUUUUGAGGCCUCUCUCCUUGGCUUGUAGAUGGUCCUUUUCUCCUGUGUCUUCAUAUGGUCUUCCCUCUGUGCAUGUGUGUGUGUCCCAGUCUCCUCUUCUUAUAAUGAUACCAGUCAUAUUGGAUUGGGGCCUACCCCAAUGACUUCAUUUUAACUUAAUUAUCUCUGUAAAGAUUCUGUCUCCAUCACGGUUACAUUCUGAGGUACUGGAGGUUAGGACAUCAACAUAUGAAUUUUGGUGGGGAGACACAAUUCAGCCCAUACCACUGUGGUUAUCAAUUUGUGGUCAUAAGAUGAUUGCCACAGCUCUACAACUCCUAUUUACUAUAAACAAACCAACAAACAGAAAGAAAAGAGAAGGGACUGGACCUGUUAUCUUUAUCCCCUUUUUAAUAAUUUUAUUUAUUUAACUUUUUUCCCCCAAAGCCCCAGUAGAUAGCUGUAUGUCAUAGUUGCACAUCCUUCUAGUUGCUGUAUGUGGGACGCAGCCUCAGCAUGGCCGGAGAAGCGGUG